ensembl:lncRNA
UAUUUAUUUUCUUAAACAGAAAAAAAAAAAAAAAAGAAAUAUGAAAACAAGCUGGAAAGAGAUGAAUUUUAUCCUGGUUCCUCGUUCUCCUCAGCAGAUGAACAACUGCAGCAUCAGCACAGAUUUCUGCUACUUGAGUUAAUGCAGUGCCACUACCAGUCACGGGUUGUCAUCCUCUGAGUAAAGCACUCCCAGAAGAGGAUUGCUGAUGGGCACUGCUAAGCCAUGCUCCUUUGCAGCCCAAGAGGAAGGACUUUUAACCCGACAUACACCAUUGGCCAUGGCUGAGCAGACCACAGAAAGUUGUCAGUGCUCUUCAGUGCCAAAGCACCAACUCUUACGGACCCCAAAGCUCGGGUUUGCAUCUGCCUCAUUUCCCUGAUUAUAUUUCCAGCCUCUGCCAACCUGAUGAUGGCCACAGGACCGCAGCCUGAAGAGGGAAAGACUGAAAUACUGUUUUCACCAAGGUAUAUGUGAGAGGUUAUUGUUGGUUGCUUCUAAGUCGGAAUCACUAAAUUCUCAGUGGCUUGCAAUAUCACUAACACAGGGGUUUUUUUUUCCCCCCACUACCUUGUUAAAUGGAAGAGACCCUUCUCUUUUAUUUGAAACAUUGGUUUUCUUCAGCUCCUUGUAUUUCCUCUAAGAGUCCUUAGGCGUUUUUCUUAAUAUAACUCUGUGCCUCAGCUACUGCACCUCACAGGUAACCAUAUAAGAGGAGUGUGGUGUAUCUGACACGACUCCUGUGUGACUGAUCCAACACAGCCCUGUAAUGCUAUUGGGAUGUGAUUGCUACAUGGCAGUCAGCGCCGAGCUAGCACAACACUGGGGGGAAAUCUUGGAGGCUGCAACAAGAAUGCAGCAACAUUGGGAACAAGGCAGUGAAGUGUGGCAAAAUGUGAGUAAAAGGAAUGGAAAGACUGAAGUAGAAUAUUAACAGUAAAUGCACUCAGGGAAAAAAAAUAUCAGAGGGUGAAGGCUCCUACUCUCUACACUGGAAAUAGAUACUGACAAUGAUAAUAGAUAAUUGUUUUUUUUCAUUUGUAAUACAAAAGGAUGUACGUAAGAAAAAUGAGGUAGGAAAAUGAAAGGAACAGAUUAACAAAUGCACCUGAAACUGUGAAAGGUAUUGGACUGGCAUCAUUCCAGUGGCAAGAGCAGGAAUCAUUAACUUGGGCUAUUUAGCAUUCAUAUCAGGGCAAAACUGUAGAAAACUACAGAAUGGAAAAAAAUCUGCACUGGUCUGUUGGAUAGCUAUAAAUAAUUUAAAGCAAUUUCUGUAUUUUAAAAAUCGGUGGACAACUGAUUAUGCUGUUAUGUAGUUUUAUCAUAGCUACCUCCUUUUAUCAGAAAAUGGUGAGGGGUUUUAAGCUAAUGUACUUUUCUUUGACCACUCCUAUUUUGGUUUUUUGAUUUUUUUCUAAGGAAAAAGAGUUGUCAUGUUCAAUGCUUGAUACUGCUGCUAUUCAGAUCUGGUUUUACAUUAAUUCUUCUCAGUUUGUCACUCACCUGUGAUUAAUCAAGCAGAAACCAAGAAAUAAAAUUAUGUAUUUUGUAAAGGUGAACUGAGGU